rnacentral:ncRNA from 1 species
GAAGGGUUUGAGUGCGAGCACACCUGUUGGGACCCGAAAGAUGGUGAACUAUGCCUGAGCAGGGCGAAGCUAGAGGAAACUCUGGUGGAGGCCCGUAGCGAUACUGACAUGCAAAUCGUUCAUCUGACUUGGGUAUAGGGGCGAAAGACUAAUUGAACCAUCUAGUAGCUAGUUUCCUCCGAAGUUUCCCUCAGGAUAGCUGGAGCUCACGUGAGAGUUUUAUUGGGUAAAGCAAAUGAUUAGAUGCAUCGGGGGCGUAACGCCCUCGACCUAUUCUCAAACUUUACAUAGGUAAGACGAUGCGACUGCUCCAUUGAGUCGUGCCAUGGAAUCGAGAGCUCCAAGUGGGCCAUUUUUGGUAAGCAAAACUGGCGAUGCGGGAUGAACCGAAAGUCGAGUUACGGUGCCAAACUGCAUGCUAACCCAGAUCCCACAAAGGGUGUUGGUUGAUUAAGACAGCAGGACGAUGGUCAUGGAAGUUUAAAUCCGCUAAGGAGUGUGUAACAACUCAUCUGUCAAAUGAACUAGCCCCGAAAAUGGAUGGCGGUGAAGUGCGCGACCUAUACUUGACCGUCGGAGCAAUUGCCAGGCUUUGAUGAGUAAGAGGAUGUGGAGGUCAUUGAGAAACCUUGGGCAUGAGCCUGGGUGGACCGGUCCCCGGUGCAGAUCUUGGUGGUAGUAGCAAAUAUUCAAAUGAGAACUUUGAAGACUGAAGUGGGGAAAGGUUCCAUGUGAACAACACUUGGACAUGGGGUAGUCGAUCCUAAGAGAUGGGGAAGCCCUGUAUCAAGGGUGCACUAUGCACGAGCAUCGAAAGGGAAUCGGGUUAAUAUUCCCGAACCGGGACAUGGCGGCGGACGACAACAUUAGGAAAUCAGGAGACGUCGUCCAGGGCCCCAGGAAGAGUUAUCUUUUCUUUUUAACAGCUUGCCCACCCUGAAAUCGGCUCAACCAGAGAUAGGGUCUAGCAGCUGGAAGAGCAUCGCACGUCUUGCGGUGUCCGGUGCGCCCUCG